CCUACGGGUGGCAGCAGUGGGGAAUAUUGCACAAUGGGGGAAACCCUGAUGCAGCAACGCCGCGUGAGUGAGGAAGUAUUUCGGUAUGUAAAGCUCUAUCAGCAGGGAAUAGAAAAGAAGGUACCUGACUAAGAAGCCCCGGCUAACUACGUGCCAGCAGCCGCGGUAAUACGUAGGGGGCAAGCGUUAUCCGGAUUUACUGGGUGUAAAGGGGGCGCAGACGGCAGCGCAAGCCAGGAGUGAAAGCCCGGGGCCCAACCCCGGGACUGCUCUUGGAACUGCGCGGCUGGAGUGCAGGAGGGGCAGGCGGAAUUCCUGGUGUAGCGGUGAAAUGCGUAGAUAUCAGGAGGAACACCGGUGGCGAAGGCGGCCUGCUGGACUGCGACUGACGUUGAGGCCCGAAAGCGUGGGGAGCAAACAGGAUUAGAUACCCUUGUAGUC
rnacentral:rRNA from 1 species